rnacentral:rRNA from 1 species
UAGGGAAUCUUCGGCAAUGGACGAAAGUCUGACCGAGCAACGCCGCGUGAGUGAAGAAGGUUUUCGGAUCGUAAAACUCUGUUGUUAGAGAAGAACAAGGACGUUAGUAACUGAACGUCCCCUGACGGUAUCUAACCAGAAAGCCACGGCUAACUACGUGCCAGCAGCCGCGGUAAUACGUAGGUGGCAAGCGUUGUCCGGAUUUAUUGGGCGUAAAGCGAGCGCAGGCGGUUUCUUAAGUCUGAUGUGAAAGCCCCCGGCUCAACCGGGGAGGGUCAUUGGAAACUGGGGGACUUGAGUGCAGAAGAGGAGAGUGGAAUUCCGUGUGUAGCGGUGAAAUGCGUAGAUAUAUGGAGGAACACCAGUGGCGAAGGCGGCUCUCUGGUAUGUAACUGACGAUGAGGCUCGAAAGCGUGGGGAGCAAACAGG